rnacentral:rRNA from 1 species
GGUUUUUAGAAUUAAUUAAAAAUCUGACCUGCUCAAUGCUUAGUAAAUAGCCGCAGUAUUUUGACUGUGCAAAGGUAGCAUAAUCACUUGUCUUUUAAUUUAAGACUAGAAUGAAAGGUUUGACUAAGUGCUUUUGUCUCAUAGUAAUAUUUUGAAAUUUAUAUUUUAGUAAAAAAGCUAAAAUCUUUUAUAGGGACGAGAAGACCCUAUCAAGUUUUACAAUAAAAAAUUUACUCUCAAACUAAAUUAAAAAUUGUUUUGCUGGGGCAGCAGAUAAAAAAUUUUUAUUUUAAAAUUAUGAAAAAUAAUUCUUGAAAAAUCAGAAAAUUUUUAAUCAAAAAUAAAUUACUGUAGGGAUAACAGCAUAAUUUUUUUAGAGAGUUCUCAUCAUCAAAAAAGUUUGUGACCUCGAUGUUGGAUUAAAAUUCCUAAUUUGUGCAAUAAUAAAAUAAGGAAGUCUGUUCGACUUUUAAAAUUUUCCA